rnacentral:rRNA from 1 species
UACGAAGGGGGCUAGCGUUGCUCGGAAUCACUGGGCGUAAAGGGUGCGUAGGCGGGUCUUUUAAGUCAGGGGGUGAAAUCCUGGAGCUCAACUCCAGAACUGCCUUUGAUACUGAAGAUCUUGAGUUCGGGAGAGGUGAGUGGAACUGCGAGUGUAGAGGUGAAAUUCGUAGAUAUUCGCAAGAACACCAGUGGCGAAGGCG